rnacentral:pre_miRNA from 1 species
ACCCUGUAGAUCCGAAUUUGUCUUGGCUUUGGCUACAAAUUCGGUUCUAGAGAGGUU